UUGAUAGAGCUUAAUACAAAUUCUAAUCUAAAUAUUUCAUGCUGCUAUUUCACAAUCCUGACAUAAUAAACAUUUAUUCCAUUUGUAAAAAGCCUCUAUACAAAG
rnacentral:SRP_RNA from 1 species